AUUACCUACGGGGGGCAGCAGUGGGGGAUAUUGCACAAUGGGGGGAACCCUGAUGCAGCGACGCCGCGUGAGCGAAGAAGUACCUCGGUAUGUAAAGCUCUAUCAGCAGGGAAGAAAAUGACGGUACCUGACUAAGAAGCCCCGGCUAAAUACGUGCCAGCAGCCGCGGUAAUACGUAGGGGGCAAGCGUUAUCCGGAUUUACUGGGUGUAAAGGGAGCGUAGACGGCAGCGCAAGUCUGGGGUGAAAUGCCGGGGCCCAACCCCGGAACUGCUUUGGAAACUGUGCAGCUCGAGUGCAGGAGAG
rnacentral:rRNA from 1 species